rnacentral:lncRNA from 1 species
AUGCCGAGGCCUGCCUGGGCAGCGUGCCUCACCCCGCGGCUCUGGAUAUCACGGAGCCGCCGCCUUCGGUGGCAGCGCGCACUCGUCUCCCGUUGGGCCGACGGAUGUCCCUCGGGGUCCGGAACUGCCUCCCUUUCCAGCCCCGUCACCCGUGUGGGUGCUGUGCGGAGGGCGGGCCGGCCAGAGAGCGUCCGCGGUGGCGCCGUCCCACCACGGCCAGGCCCUUCCCGCGUCCUCUUUCCUCCUCUGUCGGCUCCGCCCAGCGUUUUCACUGGGGUCUCCGUGCCUGGGCAGGGCGCCUCGAAUCUGCUGCGCGCCUGUCAUUUGGGGGCGCUCCCCUCCUUUCGGCUGCCUUCCUUUGGUGCAGGCCCGACGGCCCUGUUUGUCACGCUGCCUCGGUGCCUUCGUAGUGCCGGCGGCUCCUUAGGCGCGUUCGUGCUCUGUACAUUCGGCUUUGCGCCGAGUUCUGACAGUACUGGCCCGCUUCUGCGCCGGCCCGGCAACCGGGGGCCACCCGUGCCCCCCCAGGGCUUCCCGUCCUCCAUGCUCGCCCUGCGGGGUCCGUGGGACAGUCACUGUGGCCAAGGGACAACAAGACGUUGCCGGCCUGAUCGUCCCGAGUGGGUGUCCCCAGACGUGGCAUUUGUCCAGCGCCCCGCUUCCGCGUCACUCACUUGGGCACAGGGCGCACUCGCAGCCUCCUCUUCCCAUCCGCAUGGCAGAAGGUGGUGCCUACCGGCCUGUGGGGGCCAGGGAAGAGCCCCGAGGACACUGGGCAGCGGUCCUUUGGGCAGGGAGACAGGCCGGACGGAGAGUGCCCUGCAGGAGAAUAGGGGAGCCAAGGGCAUUCAGGAGCAUCCAAAAGCCUGUGGGGGGGAAGCUAAGCAGCCCCGGCCCUCCCAGGGGCCGAAGGCGCUCCGUUUCUGGACGUCCGGCUUCCCGGAGCUCUUCUCUUCCUCUGGAAGGUGGGGGUGUCUGCCCCCCUCACAUGGGCUUUGCCUAGCAUACGGUUCCCUGUUAGUGCUACUAAUAGCUGGUCUCUGGGUGUUUGCGCACUUUAAGAGUGCCCUCUCUUUCGGGGGCAGCUGGGUGGCUCAGUGGGCGGCAUGCCGGGCCUGCAGAUGGGAGGUCCUGGGUGAGCCUGGGCCCCCGUGCCUCGCCCGUCCCCCUCCUCCGCUCAGAACCAGAGGGACUCGAAGACAGACGGCGCGGGUUCCUGGCGUGCACGUAGGUCCUGUCGCCAUCUUGCCGCUGAGGAAAGUGAGGCAGAGGCCCGAGAGUUAA